UACGUAGGGGGCGAGCGUUGUCCGGAAUUAUUGGGCGUAAAGAGCUCGUAGGCGGUUCGGCAAGUCACGUGUGAAAUCUCCACGCUCAACGUGGAGGCGCCACGUGAGACUGCUGUGACUCGAGUCCGGUAGGGGAGCGUGGAAUUCCCGGUGUAGCGGUGAAAAUGCGUAGAUAUCGGGAGGAACACCAGUGGCGAAGGCGACUACCUGCCUGUUCUUGACGCUGAGGCGCGAAAAGCUAGGGGAGCAAACGGGGAUA
rnacentral:rRNA from 1 species